AGCAGUCGCCACGGUAAUACGUAGGGUGCAAGCGUUAAUCGGAAUUACUGGGCGUAAAGCGUGCGCAGGCGGUUAUAUAAGUCAGAUGUGAAAUCCCCGGGCUCAACCUGGGAACUGCAUUUGAGACUGUAUGGCUAGAGUGUGUCAGAGGGGGGUAGAAUUCCACGUGUAGCAGUGAAAUGCAUAGAUAUGUGGAGGAAUACCGAUGGCGAAGGCAGCCCCCUGGGAUAACACUGACGCUCAUGCACGAAAGCGUGGGGAGCAAACAGGAUUAGAUACCCCCGUAGUCCCUGUCUCUUAUAC
rnacentral:rRNA from 1 species